UACAAGGGAUUUUGUAAGAUUUGGUAUUCCAGCAAAAAAAUCUUUUAUAGCACCUUUUUAGAACAUUCCCCUCAAAACACCAAAACGUAACUAGAUGUCGCUAUUUGUGACGUUUGACAUUGAGAAAAUAAAUAAAAUUAAUUCGGAUCGAACUUUAUUACAGGAAAUUUAUUGAAAAGGGACGUUUAUUUUCUAUUUAUUUCGUCUUACAAGGGAUUUUGUAAGGUUUGCUGUUCCAGCAAAAAUUUCUUUUUCAUUAUUUUAUAGUAACAGACCUCCGAAACUGGAAGUCGAAAACAGAUGUCGCUGUUUACGUUGAAAAACGAAGUGAAACCGAAAAUAGGCGAAGUGAAAAAAGUUAAUGUAAACAAAUAAAAUGAGGUUAAAAUUAAGUGAAUUUAUCAACAAAACACAAUGGAUUAUUCGUGAUUUUUGAUUGUGAUGGGAAAAAUUGAAUCAUCUGGAACUUUUGAACGUCUGUGGCAUCCACGGAUUCCGGGAAGAGAUACCCGGACAAUUCUCAGGCAGCAUAAAAUGGUUGUUUAAUAAGCAGAAUCUUAUGCGGAAUGCUGGAAGCGGCUGGAAGCAUUUGUGAAAGAGUAGAGAUUGGUUGAACCAGCUCUACAGAAUGGCCAUAAAACCCAUAAAAAGAUGAAGUCACGAAUCUAGAAUAUUCUUAAAUAAAACGUUUUUCCAUACUCUA